CUUUUUUUUUUAUUUACAAUUUAACAGAUUGUUCGAUAGAUUAUUGUGUUUCUUUUUUUAACUAUUGCCUACUAAUUAAGCUAUUUGCCUUUGUUGACAUUUGUCUCCUCAAUCGUUUCAAUUGGAUUUUAAUUGUGUUAACUUAACAAUUGGUAACUUCACAAUUCUUCUUCUAUUUAUAUUCAAUCAACAAAAUAUUUACAAUCUUCAUUCUGAACUAAUCCUGCUGUCACUCUAGUCUUCAUGUUUAACAACCUUUAAACACACUUUUCCCUCCAUAGAAUUGAUUGUCAACCAUUGAAUUGGUGUGAUUUAUUUAAUCAGAACGAUUUUCAUCACCGUAUUGAAAUUAAUCAUAUGUUUUGCCGAAAAAAACCCACAGCUGAUGAAAAUUAACUAUGAUGUCAUCUAAAUGCAAAAUUCCAUUGAAGAUAAAUUAUCUAAUUUGGCUAAUCUUUACCAUUGCAUACAUGACAAGGAUAAAAAAUAGUAAAUCACAAAAAGUGAACUUACUCUUUGCUUUUAAAAAAAAUUUGUCCAUCCAAUAUCAUUCAACUUUAGCGCCUUUCUUGUGGCACUGAUCAGGUGUAAUGAGACAGGGUAUACUUGAUCCCGCUCUAUUCAUAUCUGGUUAAAAUCACAAUGAUAUUAGUUAACAGCUUUCACUUGUCAAUUACAUCGAAUGAAAUGAUUUAUUCUGAGCUAGCCCUAGGCUAAACUAUCAUUCAAUUAAUACCUUAAUGUUGGACAAAUAAGCUGACUAAAAGCGUUUUCACUUUUGAUUCACGUUUCAAAAAGUACAGACAGAUAUUCAUCAAUUGUGAUUAGGAAGUACAAUUGAUAGUUGCAAACAAACAAGUUUGAAGAGAAAAAGAGCGUAAAAGAGGGAGAAUGAACAUGAAUGAGGGAGAAAGAGAUGAACCAAACAAGAGUCAUCUUGAUAGACUUUGGUAAACUGGGUCUUUCAACAUUUUUAUUUCCUUUUGUUAAUUAAAUUGUUCAUUUAUGUUGAUCCAUUUUUUACCCUUGUAUUAAUUGACAAUCUUAUUUUUAAAGGACUCAUCGAAGGCCUACUUACCAUUUUAUUGUAUUGUAUUGGAUUAACUCUGUGAUCUAUAGCCGACGUGCUUUUACUCAUUUCUUGACAAUAUGGACAAAUCCGAAACCUUGAACAAACGUCAAAGUAGGCCCACAGUUAAUUCAAAUCCAAUUGAAAGGAAAAGCUUUCGAUCUUUAGUGUGUGAUGAAAGUGGUAUCAUUAUUGGUGAGAUGGUCUAUCGGUGUUUAAUCUGUUCCUUUAUCAGUGAAUCAAUGGAUAAAGUUCGAGCACAUUAUCAAACAGAACAUGUUGACAUCGAAGAUAUAAGCAAUGGUGAAUUUAAAUAUGUAAAUAGUGAUAAAUAGAAAUACGAUGGAAAUUGAUGGACAAUUUUAGGUACUCGAAUGUACCUGGAAUGUUGGUGGACUGCUUAUAAAUAAAAUUUUUAUUUAUUAUUAUUUAUAAUUAUUGAAUUGGAGUUAUUAUAUUUUAUGUUAUGUCAAUCGUAUUAUUUUUGGACUUUCGCUAUUAAGUGCUAUUAAUGGCAAGCCUUAUGAUCAACCACUGGUUCAAAAUGGUCGGGAUGACGGUUUCAAUGGUGGAUAUAAUCGAAGUGAUGGUUACGUUAUGAUUCUCAUCUUCCAGAAAAGCCAAGACGUUCAAACAGCACCUUGGAUCGUCCCUUUUGAACUCAAGGACUCAGCCAGAGUAACAAGGUUUCUCAGUGUUUUUAAAUCGAGAAAUCCUUUUUUGGUUCCGCAUUGCUAAUUGCAAUUCAACAAAAAAAUUCAUCAAAGUAGCUCAAAGGCGGAGUUGUGAAGGAUGUUGGUUUGCAGACAAGAAUCUUAUAACAGAACUGGGUUUAUCCUGCAUCUAUUAUUCAAGUAUGUUAUAACUUGUCUAGACUAGAGCUUAUACGCAGAACAUUUGAAACGAGUUUUCACCACAGCGUUUUCUUAAGCAAUGGUAACAUGCAUUCCAUAAAUUUCCCAGAAUUUCUAUUUGGAAUGAUGAUAUUACUCUGUGAUUUCUCUCUACAAAUUACCGUUUUUAUAAUUUUAUUAUCCGUGGAUAUUGACGAGUCGAGAUAUUUUUUAGAUUCAUCAGACCAGCAACUUUAUCCUAAGCAAAUGCUCAAUACUCAUCUAAUUCAUUCUAUUCGCGUUCACAGUCAACCAAUUACAGCACUUCAACUAGAUUCUAGUCAUCUAAUAACAUGAAGUGCUGAUCAUUUAAUUAAAUUUUUCAAAAUGGAAACGGGAUCUUGUAGCUAAACGUAGUAUUUCGGUGGUAUCAGCUGCCUCGAAGUUGAUAAGACUACACCAAAUUCAGCUUUAAGUGGUUGUAAAGUUGGUCAGAUUUGUCUUUGGGAUCUUACAACUGGAACAUGUUUAUUUAACUUGGAAGCUCAUACGGAUGCAGCAGUAACUGCUCUUUUGGCUACAAGUUUAUAUGCUAUUAGUUUAGGAACAGAUAAUAAAAUCAAUAUUUGGGACAAAUACUCUGGCCACCUCGUUCAUUCAUUACCAAAUCAACGUUCGUUUUGUAGUGGAAUGGUUCCUUUGAGGUCUAAUAUUCUGAUCACUGCCAAAGAAGAUCAUCUAAUUUUAUGGGAUCUUAGCGAAGCUGUUCCAUUAUUAUUGUUCCAUUUGUUAUCAAUUUAAGCUCUUUUGGAGAUAGUAAAAGUUCUUGUAUCAAGAGCCAUACUUUGUAUGCAUCUCUUAACAUGUUGGCAGUCCUAAGCGAGACAGAGCGAUGUUUUUCCGUCGUUGCAUUAUUUCCCAGUAUACAUCAUGAACUAAAAAAUUUAAAGACAAAAAUUUAAGAUUA